GUGGGGUGCCAACCAGCCGCAGGGCAUAUACAAAGACAAUCAACCAGGCGUACCUGCAUGCACACUGAGCUGGACUUGAACCCACGCUGCCCACACACAAGUCAGGAUUACAGCAUGAAGGAUAUUCUUACUUUAUCUCAACAACAUCUGGAGAAGAUUUGACCAGAGCUUGUGGCGUUAAGUUGACUCGAGCGGCGAAUUAAGAAUCAGGAUGUCGUCACCGGCUUUGAGGUAAACUGGGGGUGGGCUACAACCUGGUCACAAUCGCAAGGCACAAAAAAGACAAAGAACCGUGCGUACGGUCUUCCAAGACCCUAACGUGCAUAUUUUCAAGAAAGAGGAAGAAGCCAAAGUACUUGGAGAAAACCCAGCACAUUUAACCCAGGACCUCGCAAC